rnacentral:rRNA from 1 species
GAUGAACGCUAGCGGCAGGCCUAAUACAUGCAAGUCGAACGGUGUAGCAAUACACAGUGGCGCACGGGUGCGUAACACGUAUGCAACCUACCUAUUAUUGGGGGAUAGCCUUUGGAAACGGAGAUUAAUACCGCAUAAGACAGUGACAUGGCAUCAUGUAGCUGUUAAAGCUUUGGCGAUAAUAGAUGGGCAUGCGUCCAAUUAGUUAGUUGGUGAGGUAAUGGCUCACCAAGACGAUGGUUGGUAGGGGAUCUGAGAGGAGAAUCCCCCACACUGGCACUGAGAAACGGGCCAGACGCCUACGGGAGGCAGCAGUAGGGAAUAUUGGGCAAUGGACGGAAGUCUGACCCAGACAUGCCGCGUGCAGGAUGACGGCGUUAUGCGUUGUAAACUGCUUUUUUAUAGGAAGAAGAAGCCCUUGCGAGGGAAAGUGACGGUACUAUAAGAAUAAGCACCGGCUAACUCCGUGCCAGCCGCCGCCGUAAAAC